CAGUAGCCGCGGUAAUACGUAGGUGGCAAGCGUUGUCCGGAAUUAUUGGGCGUAAAGGGCUCGCAGGCGGUUUCUUAAGUCUGAUGUGAAAGCCCCCGGCUCAACCGGGGAGGGUCAUUGGAAACUGGGAAACUUGAGUGCAGAAGGGGAGAGUGGAAUUCUACGUGUAGCGGUGAAAUGCGUAGAGAUGUGGAGGAACACCAGUGGCGAAGGCGACUCUCUGGUCUGUAACUGACGCUGAGGAGCGAAAGCGUGGGGAGCGAACAGGAUUAGAUACCCCUGUAGUCCCUGUCUCUUAUAC
rnacentral:rRNA from 1 species